UGUAGUAGAAAUGCUAGAGUAGAAGUUGCGUUGAUGAAGAUAAGUAUUGUUUGGGUUUGAAAAUGGUGUAAUUUGUUAAAUAAACAAAAAAUUGUAAAAUGAAAAAGCUAAAGUAGAAUUUUUGUAAAUUGUGCUAAAAACUAAAGUGUAUAAGUACUGUGAAGGAAUUAAAUUAAACUAGAAAAAAGAAGAAUUAAAUUUUCGUACCUUUUGUAUCAGGGGUAUUUAAUUUAGUUUAAAGAUUAUUACUAUUCCCGAAGUAAAGUGAUUUAGUUUAGCAAAAAUUUCUGUGUUGAAAAAUGGACUUAAAUGUUAGACUAGGGGUGAAAUGCCAGUCGAGCUUUAUCUAUCUGGUUGCCUUUGAAGUAAAUUUAAUUUAGCUUGUGCGCGGAAAAGCGCAGAAUUAGAUUUUUAGGGGGAAGAGCUCCUAGAAUUUCAGUAAGAAAAAAAUUAAACCAGUUUAAAAUUAGGCUUAGAAUCAGCCGUAUUAUCAUACCGUUUUAGAAGAUAUUAGACUAAAAUAUGUUUUAGGCAAAGUUUCUAUGAGUUAGUAGGAGGUCUUUUUUAGAAAUGGAAGUUAAAAUGAGAUACUGAUUAUAUUAGUAAGUAAAACUGUCAAAAAAGUAUUUCUUGGUACUUUUUAAAUUUUGACAAAACGACGAUUUGGUCAAGGAACUCGACAAAUAAUAUGCUCACCUGUUUAACAAAAACAUGUCUACUUGAAAAAAAUUUUUAGUCUAGCCUGCCCACUGAUAUUAAAGGGCCGCGGUAUUUGGACCGUGCUAAGGUAGCAUAAUCAAUAGUCUUUUAAUUGGAGUCUGGAAUGAAAGGUUGGAUGGGGUGUAGUUUGUCUGCGGGCGUAUAGUUGAAUUUUACUUUUAAGUGAAAAGGCUUAAAUUAAGUAAUGGGACGAUAAGACCCUGUGAAGCUUUACUUCUGACUGAGCCUAAAGUUAAAUAUAGUUGUGCUUGAGCUUGGGUUUGGGGAUGUUGAGCUGGGGCGGCAGAGAUAUAUUUCUAACUGUUUUUGGGAGGUAAAUAAAUUAUUUUUAGUGUGUUGAUCCUGAACUAUGGAUUAAAAGAUUUAAGUUACUCCAGGGAUAACAGCGUAAUUUUUCUUGAGAGUUCGUAUCGACAGAAAUAUUUGCGACCUCGAUGUUGAAUUAAGACUUCAUUAGGGUGCAGGAGUUCUAAUUGUGGGUCUGUUCGACCUUUAAAGUCUUACAUGAUUUGAGUUCAGACCGGCGUGAGCCAGGUUAGUUUCUAUCUAUUACUUUUUGUUAGUCAUUCUAGUACGAAAGGAGAGAAUGGUUGAAAUAUUUUUUAGCAAAGAUUAACUUUAAUUACUUU
rnacentral:rRNA from 1 species